rnacentral:rRNA from 1 species
UGGGGAAUAUUGCACAAUGGGCGGAAGCCUGAUGCAGCAACGCCGCGUGCGGGAUGACGGCCUUCGGGUUGUAAACCGCUUUCGCCUGUGACGAAGCGUGAGUGACGGUAAUGGGUAAAGAAGCACCGGCCAACUACGUGCCAGCAGCCGCGGUGAUACGUAGGGUGCGAGCGUUGUCCGGAUUUAUUGGGCGUAAAGGGCUCGUAGGUGGUUGAUCGCGUCGGAAGUGUAAUCUUGGGGCUUAACCCUGAGCGUGCUUUCGAUACGGGUUGACUUGAGGAAGGUAGGGGAGAAUGGAAUUCCUGGUGGAGCGGUGGAAUGCGCAGAUAUCAGGAGGAACACCAGUGGCGAAGGCGGUUCUCUGGGCCUUUCCUGACGCUGAGGAGCGAAAGCGUGGGGAGCGAACAGGCUUAGAUACCCUGGUAGUCCACGCUGUAAACGGUGGGGUAUUAGGUGUGGGGUCCAUUCCACGGGUUCCGUGCCGUUAGCUAACGCUUUAAGUACNCGCCUGGGGAGUACGGCCGCAAGGCUAAAA